rnacentral:rRNA from 1 species
AAAAUCGGUAGUAAUGUGGGAAAUUGAAAUUGUAGGGGCCGCCAAUUCUCCCCUUACCCGCUUGAACUUAAGCAUAUCAAUAAGCUGCAGGAAAAGAAACUAACAAGGAUUCCCUUAGUACCUGCGAGUGAAGUGGGAAAAGCUCAAAUUUAGAAUCUGGCAGUCACUUGGCUGUCCGAGUUGUAAUCUAGAGAAGUGUUGCCCGUGCUGGACCAUGUACAAGUCUCCUGGAAUGGAGCAUCACAGAGGGUGAGAAUCCUGUCUUUGACAUGGACUGCCAGUGCUUUUGUGGUAUGCUCUCAAAGAGUCGAGUUGUUUGGGAAUGCAGCUCAUAAUGGGUGGUAAAUGCCAUCUAAAGCUAAAUAUUGGCGAGAGACCGAUAGUGAACAAGUACCGUGAGGGAAAGAUGAAAAGAACUUUGGAAAGAGAGUUAAACAGUACGUGAAAUUGCUGAAAGGGAAACGCUUGAAGUCAGUCACGUUGACUUGGAAUCAGCUCUGCUUUUGCUGGGUGUACUUUCUUGUCAAUGGGUCAGCAUCAAUUUUGACCAUUGGAUAAAGUUGCUGGGAAUGUAGCAUCCUUUGGGAUGUGUUAUAGCCUGUGUGAUGCAUCCAGUGGUUGGGAUUGAGGAAUUCAGCACGCCACCAGGCCGGGUUUUGACCACGUUCGUGCUUAGGAUGCUGGCAUAAUGGCUUUAAUUGACCCGUCUUGAAACACGG